rnacentral:lncRNA from 1 species
CCGCGCCCAGGAUUCGAACUGGCGAAACCCUGGGCCGCCAAAGCAGAGUGCGUGAACUUAACCACAGGGCUCACCCAUGUUUUGUUUUGUUUUGUUUUUGAGAAAGGUUAGCCCUGACCUAACAUCUGCUGCCAAUCCUCUUUUUGCUGAGGAAGACUGACCCUGAGCUAACAUCUGUACCAGUUUCCCUCUAUUUUGCAUGUGGGACGCCCCCACAGCACGGCCUGAGUGUUGUGUAGAAUUCAAACCAGCAAACCCCGGGCUGCCGAAGUGUAGCGCGUGAACUUAACCGCUGCACCACCUGGCCAGCUCCAGUUCCGUUCCCUUUUAAAGAUUUAACGUCAGCAGCUAUCUGAUGAUGUUUGGGUUGAGGUGGGUGGUGGGUAGGUUCUCCUUACCAUCCCCAAAGACCCACCAUUCCUGCCAGGUCAGAAACUCUGCUUGCACCAUCAUCUGAUGCCUUCACAUGGAGUCUUUGAAACUCUGGGUGUCACUGGGGCCCUGCUUCCUGUGCCAGUAGAGUUUUUAGGGAACGCUCCCCAAGGCAGGCUGGCUUUAAAUAUCCUGCUUGACCUGACUUGGCUCCUGGGCUCUCCCUGUGGCCCUGAUACUCUGCUGCUUCACUGACGUCUCUGCCUACCCACUCCGGUUGGCUUAGUGUUCGCCUUCCUCCAGGUCAAAGGCCAGCAGCCUCUGCCUCAUUAUACGAGUUCUUACACCCACCACCCACUUCUGUCUCUUGAAAGGCUAAAGGAGACUGUGGCAUCCUUUGGAUAGUAUGUCUCAUCUAAAAGUCUGGUCACCAGAUGGGUGUUCUAGAAACCGCUUCUCUCAUCUCUGAACAAUCCCACAGGAAUUGUAGGAGCUGACAUUAACCUACAAUGUCCCUGAUUGCCUCUUCAGUGAGGAUUUCCACUUCAACUCCCCCAGAUCCUUUCUCCCCUCCUACCCCCAAUCCUGGAGACGGGCUGUGUUUUCAGAUACCCGGGAAGGUCUUGCCCUAGCUUCUUCAGCUCUGAGGCUGUAGCUGGGUUCCUGCCUGACACACCAGACACAUGGACUAGCCUGAACAGAUUUCCUGCCUAACCAGCUAAGCUUUAAAAAUGACCUUGGGAACUGUUCUGGGCAUUCUUGCAGAGCCGUCUCGGCUUGAGAGAAGCAGCUGUGCUUUCUCCAUGUCCAGGGCCCCAGCCCCAACACGUCAGGGCUGCAAUCAACCAUUGGAGCACACAGGCAGACCUGGGUCCAGUCUGGUCACUAGUUAGCUGUGUUACCCUGGGCAAGUCACCCCUUCAGGGCCUCAGUUUCCUCUGUAAAUAAGACUAGUAACCCAAUGAAGAUGUUGGGAAGAUUUUAAUGAGAUAAUACGUCCACGUACAUGUAAAGGGCCUAGCACAUAUUAGGAGCUCGAGGGUGGCGCCUUGCCUUUUUCCUUGUUCUGAACUGGAAAUGAAGCCACGGAAAAGAAGGGAGGUGCCGCAAAACGACGUCAGGUCCCAGAAGAUGUCAAAGCUCCUCUCCAGCUCAACCCUCCGCGGUGCCUGGACCCCUACCCGUCAAAACUUCUCCCGAGCCCUGUUGUUCCAGUGUCCUCCGCUAGGGGGGGAAAAGAAGGGACAACCUGACUGCCUUAAGAGUAUUUCUUCCCGAUCGAGGAUGCGCUCGACUUCCAAAGAAAGGGACGAGAAGGAACAUUAAUGGAGCAUCUUCUGCCGUUGGGACUGUGCAGGGGAAGUGGACCAACCUUAGGAGCAAGGAUGCCCUCCAUACUAGAGGAGGCUUUGGAAGUGGAGCUCUGGAGCUGUGGAGAGGCAGAACGCUAGAAAGGCUGCACCGAGAGGCAAGACCACAAGAAAGGAUCUAGCAG